rnacentral:rRNA from 1 species
GACGAACCGUGCGAACGUUGUUCGGAAUCACUGGGCUUAAAGGGCGCGUAGGCGGGUGUGCAAGUCUGCGGUGAAAGCCUCCAGCUUAACUGGAGAAGUGCCGUGGAUACUGCUCAUCUUGAGGAGGGUAGGGGCAUCUGGAACGGUCGGUGGAGCGGUGAAAUGCGUUGAUAUCGACCGGAACUCCGGUGGCGAAGGCGAGGUGCGUGG